rnacentral:rRNA from 1 species
UACGUAGGUGGCAAGCGUUGUCCGGAAUUACUGGGCGUAAAGGGCGCGUAGGCGGGUGGACAAGUCUCUCGUGAAAGCCCACGGCUCAACCUCGGAACUGCCUUUGAUACUGCAGAUCUCGAGUCCGGGAGAGGUGAGUGGAAUUCCUAGUGUAGAGGUGAAAUUCGUAGAUAUUAGGAAGAACACCAGUGGCGUAGGCGGCUCACUGGCCCGGUACUGACGCUGAGGCGCGAAAGCGUCGGGAGCAAACAGG